CGGCGAGCGGCUGGUCUGCCACGAGGAGCUGAGUGUGCAGCAGACCCCAGACACCAUUUCAAUCAAGGUUGAAGAGGAUAUUUGUGGGGGCAGUCCUUCUGUUGAAAUCUGCGAUGCCUUUGGAGACCGUAGCACGCAGCGCGGCGCCACCUCGGAGAGUCUGGGUGUGGACGCCCCUGGCUCCUCCCACAUGUCCAGUCACGGCGGGGAGCUGAAGAUCCUGAGCGUCGACGUAAAAAGGGAGGGCCCUCUGGCGACGGACGGCCAUGACACCCUCUUCACCGCGUCAGAAGUGGAGGCCCUGAACUCGCUGUCUGCGGACCACAGCGCGGCCAAGAGCCUGGAGCGCGGCGAGCGGCUGGUCUGCAGCGAGGAGCUGAGU